UCCAAGCAAGUCAGAAGUGAGCCUACAUGGUAGAAGGAGAAACCAAGUACAGCUGCGACCAACUCCACAACAGUUAGACUAACUUCAGCCACCUACUUUGAGUUCAACUUCAGCAUUUCUUUUACUAAUCCUCUAGACUACAAACAAACAAGUUAACAUCUGUGACAAUAAAAUUAAUUGAUUAAAAUUUA